UACGUAGGGGGCGAGCGUUGUCCGGAUUUAUUGGGCGUAAAGAGCUCGUAGGCGGUUGGGUAAGUCGGGUGUGAAAACUCAGGGCUCAACUCUGAGACGCCACUCGAUACUGCCCUGACUCGAGUCCGGUAGGGGAGCGUGGAAUUCCCGGUGUAGCGGUGAAAUGCGCAGAUAUCGGGAGGAACACCGGUGGCGAAGGCGGCAUCCUGGACCGACACUGACGCUGAGGAGCGAAAGCGUGGGGAGCGAACAGG
rnacentral:rRNA from 1 species